rnacentral:rRNA from 1 species
CACGGGGGGAGCAAGCGUUGUUCGGAAUCACUGGGCGUAAAGGGCGUGUAGGCGGUUCGGUAAGUGGAAUGUGAAAUCCCUCGGCUCACCCGAGGACCUGCAUCCCAAACUGCCGAGCUUGAGUAUGGGAGAGGAUGAGGGAAUUCCUGGUGUAGCGGUGAAAAUGCGUAGAUAUCAGGAGGAACACCGGUGGCGAAGGCGCUCAUCUGGCCCCAAUACUGACGCUGAGGCGCGAAAGCUAGGGGAGCGAACAGG